CCUACGGGUGGCAGCAGUGGGGAAUAUUGGACAAUGGGCGGAAGCCUGAUCCAGCAACGCCGCGUGAGGGAUGACGGCCUUCGGGUUGUAAACCUCUUUCGGUAGGGACGAAGCGUGAGUGACGGUACCUACUAAAGAAGCACCGGCCAACUACGUGCCAGCAGCCGCGGUAAUACGUAGGGUGCGAGCGUUGUCCGGAAUUAUUGGGCGUAAAGGGCUCGUAGGCGGUUUGUCGCGUCGGGAGUGAAAACAUCCAGCUUAACUGGGUGCUUGCUUUCGAUACGGGCAGACUUGAGGCAUGCAGGGGAGAAUGGAAUUCCUGGUGUAGCGGUGAAAUGCGCAGAUAUCAGGAGGAACACCGGUGGCGAAGGCGGUUCUCUGGGCAUGUCCUGACGCUGAGGAGCGAAAGUGUGGGGAGCGAACAGGAUUAGAUACCCUUG
rnacentral:rRNA from 1 species